CUCACCCGACGCAGCAGCCCCAGCCGCCGCGGCGCAGGCGAGGGGGGGAGGGAAGCUGGAACCGCCCCCGCGCUCGUCCAAUUCGCUCCCGUCUGUCCCAGGCUGCGCGCGGGGAAGCAUGGGAAACGUAGUCCUCUCUCUGGCGGCCGGGCCCUUGAUACUGAUAGGGCAAGGAGAGGAAAAAGACUACGAGACCCGACAAGCCCCACGAGCAGCGCGAAGGUCGGCCGCCAUUUUCUAAAGCGCUCUGUCGGAUCGAUACUCUACGCAACUCCCGAAAUACGAGUUAAACCGAGAGGAAACCAGCCAGGGAGGAAAAAAGCGAAAAAGAUCUUUCCCGUCAGCCACUGCGCGCUGCCAAAUUGGAGUUGGAGGGGGUGGGCUAUCGAGACCAACAACAAACCUCGCGAGAAUUCCUUGGGCGGGGGGAGAUGUACGUUGCGUUUUACGUCCCACUUAUGUGGCUCGCGAAGUACGCUGGUCGGUGUAGUUCAGUAGCUCUCUUCGCGGCACGACUAUGGGUGAGGGCUGUUUUACAGGCGGACUACAACUCCCAAGAAGUAUUGCGAGCUGAGGAUGAAGAGAUUUCCCCCCUUGUAUUUCAGGGAAAGAGAAAAGGCGGAGAGUUCUGAGUUGUAUUCCAAAGAGGAACUUUCCUAUAAAGCUGAAUGGGAAAUGUUGGAUUUAUUUUUUUUCGUCUUUAUAGCAUUGCAAAUGUCGUGAAGGCUGUUGGAUUUAUGAUAUUUAUAUUUCUGUCACGUGAACAUCUGCCAUUUUGUUAAUGUAUACUCUGUAGCUUAGUGUGUAGAGCUUGAUGUAGAGUAGAACUCAAACGUUUUUUAAACACUAUAUUGCCCAUGGUGCAUCAGAUACAAAUAACCGAGUAUUUGCUGGGAAAUACAGUUUUUAAUCUA